CAAAAGUCGUUCAGUUCCCAAAACACUGGACCUGAGGUUACAUUUUUACUUUCCUUCCUCAAAAUGCGUGUGCUGCAGCUUUGUUUCUGAGGCCACCCAGAAUCAGCAGUUUCGCAAAGGGUAACAGAUUGAGGUUACUUCUCUGGGAUUUGUCACAAAAAGGGAACAAUUGAGUACCAUGGACAUUGACAGAAGAAUUGAUUAAACAUUUUGGUUGAAGUGUUUAUAGAAAUGCUGUUGAGUAGUGGACUUAAAUCUUCCUAUUCUUCGUCACUUGUGAGUUAGUAACCCCAGGUCUUGCCUCAGCCCUACCCUUCCUGACCGUUCUUUCUUUUGGUUUUACAGGGUUUAUAGGCUUCUGAUACAGUGAAUCCAUCUUCAAGGGGCAGCACUUUGAGGCUUUUCUAGCCUUUGUAGCCAAUCUCGGAAAAGAGGAGACGAUUUGGUCAGGGAUUAAGGCGGAAAGAUUGAUGAAGUCCAGAUAGUUGCAACAUGAGACGGGAAGAGGGACAAGGUGACUGCGGAAAAAACCAUCUCGAGUUUCUGCAGGAAAAUUAUGAAGAGUGGAAGGAAGCCUAAUCUGCCUCAGAAAUGCAAAGGCAUCUCAAGUCUCCGCUAACUACGUUCCUGGGAUGAAAUGCAGAAGUAUCACAGCUCUCACUUCACCCCCCACCACAAACACUCGCACGACUGCCGCGGAAAUUUAAAGCUCUACGCGUAAGGACGUCAAUAUUUCAAUUUAGAAUUUUACACCUGAUUAAAGACACAGCCUCCCCUCCCUUUCAGUUUGUUCCAUGUACUGGUGGGUUUUGGUAAAUAUUUCUAUCUUCUGCAUAGGGUUAUGAAUAACUUAGAGGUCAGGGAAACCCUCUCCCCGCUUUUCCCACCUUUAAUUGUUUCUCCGGCAAGACUUACUUAUUGUGAGAGCUUAGUAAAUACCCUUAAUUAAAAUUUAAGAAAUGAAAUGUA